rnacentral:rRNA from 1 species
AACGAACGCUGGCGGCAUGCCUAACACAUGCAAGUCGAACGGGACCUUCGUGCCUAGUGGCGCACGUGUGCGUAACGCGUGGGAACCUGCCCUUAGGUUCGGAAUAACUCCCCGUAAGGUGUGCUAAUACCGGUUAAUGUCAUCGGACCAAAGAUUUAUCGCCUUUGGAUGGGCCCGCGUUGGAUUAGCCGGUUGGUAGGGUACAAGCCUACCAAGGCGACGAUGCAUAGCUGGUCUGAGAGGAUGAUCAGCCACACUGGGACUGAGACACGGCCCAGACUCGUACGGGAGGCAGCAGUGGGGAAUAUUGGACGAUGGGCGAAAGCCUGAUCCAGCCAUGCCGCGUGAGUGAUGAAGGCCUUAGGGUUGUAAAGCUCUUUUACCCGGGAUGAUAAUGACAGUACCGGGAGAAUAAGCUCCGGCUAACUCCGUG